rnacentral:lncRNA from 1 species
AGUAUAGUCGAAAAAACUCUAAAUACAGUUCGCCACUUACCGGAAUACGAAAGGUCUCGAAUGUAGCAACGAAACGUCGACGAACUCACGGCGACUUCUUCUCUUCACAGCGACUAAAGGCGAGUUUGAAGACCAAAACAGAGAGAGCGUCGGCGGCGAGUACUGUGUAAAAGGCGAGUAUUGUCUUCGUCGUCGGCGGCGAGGAAGUUCUCUGUCGAGAGAGAGAAAUUUUUUUUUUUUUUUUUUUCAAUUGUAAACAGUGACGAGAAAGAAACUGUUCAGUUUCUCUUUUGAUAAUUAAUGAAAGAAUAACUGUCGAUGAUGAUGUGGCAAUUUCGGGUAUGACGUGGCAUUUUCGGAUAUGAUGUGGCAAUUUCGGGUAUGACGUGGCAUUUUCGGAUAUGAUGUGGCAAUUUUAAGAGAAAACAGACAAAGGGUGUUAAUUGUAAUUACACCCAUCCCACUAAACAUCUAAGGAAUAAAAAAAAGAUUUGGCUGUUUAAGGAAUAAACAUACAAUUGUGGUCUAUCUAAG